CAGUCGCCACGGUAAUACGGAGGGAGCUAGCGUUGUUCGGAAUUACUGGGCGUAAAGCGCGCGUAGGCGGUUACUCAAGUCAGAGGUGAAAGCCCGGGGCUCAACCCCGGAACUGCCUUUGAAACUAGGUAACUAGAAUCUUGGAGAGGUCAGUGGAAUUCCGAGUGUAGAGGUGAAAUUCGUAGAUAUUCGGAAGAACACCAGUGGCGAAGGCGACUGACUGGACAAGUAUUGACGCUGAGGUGCGAAAGCGUGGGGAGCAAACAGGAUUAGAUACCCCGGUAGUCCCUGUCUCUUAUAC
rnacentral:rRNA from 1 species